rnacentral:lncRNA from 1 species
AUGUGAUCUCUCAAGGAAAAUACAUGAAGUGGGAAGAGGAGACUCUAAGUAACGGCAAUGGUGGAGCCCUGGAAAUCAAAAAGAAGUUGGUCAGGGAUCCCCAGAGGAAGUGACCGGAAGACUGUGUUGUCUCAGCACAAAAGCCAAGGCAGCAGAGUCAAUGCACUUCCAAAUCUAGGAUAUCUAGAGAGCUGAAGGGAAAACAGCAGAAACAUCAUCUUUCAAGAUACAGGAGUCAUGCUGGUGGCCCAGAUGUGGUAGGUAUAUCUACUUGUUCACUUCUGUGGCUGAUUGCAUAAUGCUUUGUGUUCAAGUGGAAAGUGUAAAGCAAUUAGUGUAUUUGAAAAAUAUGAAGUAAUAAAGAUGAUUUUGCAG